rnacentral:rRNA from 1 species
AGAAUCAACGCUGGCGGCGUGCCUAACACAUGCAAGUCGAACGAGAAAGGGUAGCAAUACCUGAGUAAAGUGGCGCACGGGUGAGUAACACGUGACUAACCUACCUUUUAGUGGGGGAUAACCUAGGGAAACCUGGGCUAAUACCGCAUAAUACCUACGGGUCAAAGCAGCAAUGCGCUGAAUGGAGGGGGUCGCGGUCGAUUAGUUAGUUGGCAGGGUAAUGGCCUACCAAGACUGUGAUCGAUAUCCGGCCUGAGAGGGCGCACGGACACACUGGAACUGAAACACGGUCCAGACUCCUACGGGAGGCAGCAGUGGGAAUUUUGCGCAAUGGGGGAAACCCUGACGCAGCAACGCCGCGUGGAGGAUGAAGUCCCUUGGGACGUAAACUCCUUUCGAUCGGGACGAUAAUGACGGUACCGGAAGAAGAAGCCCCGGCUAACUUCGCGCCAGCAGCCGC